CAUUAGCUGUGGGACCCUGAGCAAGUCACCAUUGCUUAGCCAAAAACAAAACACAAAAACAAACAAAAUAACCGCUCUGAGUCUGGGUGGGUUAGGAGUCAUUUCAGAUUAUGUGCCUCUCAGGCUAUUUGUUUAUUUGUGGUGUUUAAAUUUUUUUUAAAAGUGAUACUUUGUUUUUUUCCAUCAUCUGCAUUUCCAGUUUUCUUCUCCUUCAAAGCAUCUUCUCUUUAUAACAGAGACUAAAAAAAAAAGACCCACAGAAAAAGUCUGACAGAUGAAGAGCUGAAACAAAGGAAAACAAUCUCUGGAUGAGGAAUAGAAAAAAAUUGCUAACAGGGAGAUGAAACACAAGAUAGAGAUGGGUAACAGAGCCUUUGAUGAAUUCAUGUAAUGAAUUACAUCCCAGGGUAUGGAAAGAACUGGCAGAGACCAUACUUCAUGUGAAAAGGUUUUUUGGUCUUAGAAGACUUUCUAUGAGGGUAACCCUUGGCUCAUGGGACCAACUGUAUGGGACUCUCUUUUCACUGGUGGAGAUUGAUUCCUCAAUGCUCCAAGCCUGUGUGGCUUGAGUGGCAGGCAAAGUUGGUAAGAGCUGGAGAUAAAGGACAUCCAGGGUCAUGGGGCUUCUAGUGCUGAAAGAGAAGACACACUAUUCCAAAUUCCCUUUAGGGCUCUGGGGAAAGAAAAACUCUGGGAAGAAGCUGACAUACAGAUGAACUGGCCAUCUCUAUCAUGUCCUUAUCCCCAGCUUACUACACUAGAAAAUUUGUUGGAAUUAUUCCAUCGGUGAGAUCUGGGACUCUCCCUUGAUUGAACUAAGUUAUCUUUCUCUCAAGGGGAGAGCUCAUUCACUCUAUACUGUCUAGUAUAUAUUCUUCUCUGUGUAUUGUCUCUGAUUUUUUUUUUUUGCUACCAAUAAAUGAGUUAAAUGGGUUUAUUUGCUAUGUGUGUUUAUUGUUCAACUGGCAUUUGGUGGGGAGUAAAGCCUUGGAUGUACAGCUUGGGGCCUUCUUUUCCUGUUAAAGGUUAGAAAUAAGGACAUAGCUUGGACAUAAAAAUUACUUCCCCCAGACCAAUCAUAUUUGUGGGAGCUGAUAGCCUGGCACCCCCUGUCUCUGAGAAGAGCAGAGUGUCCAUAUCUUUGGCUUUCCCUCCUGGCAGGAAUUAGUCUUCUUUGGAGAAAAGAUGGAGGAGAAAAUGCUAGAGAUAUCUAUUCUUGC